GUAAUUUUUAAUAACCACAGUGCCCUUGUAUUUUUUCGAUUUCUUCACACGUGGGAAACGCUUGUCACUACUAGGCUUAGAUGUAAAUGAGACAACUGAAGAAAUUCUGACUCCAGAGCGAUAUUCGAACUUGGAAGGGUAUCAGUACGAACUUGAGCUACCUACCUGGCCACGAAGAAAGAUGUGUUGUAGCAUGGUGAUAAAAAACACUUAAUUUGUUCGAGAAUUCCACACUUUCGUAUUAAGUCGGCAUCACAAGCUUUGUAAUAGACCUACAGUGUACUGCUCCAGGUAAUAGCUGCGCCGGUGCCGCGUAGUAACAGGCACCAGCACAACACAUUCCUUGUGUUCCUGUAAUACUGGUGUUAACCAAUGGUAGUGGGUGCUGGACUGCUUAGACCUGACCAAAAGGGGUGCUGAGGUCGAAAAAGGUUAGCAAACACUGCCCUAAUAGCCAAGUACUUAAUCGUAGUUUGCUUUAAAAAAAAAAAAUGUCUGCAAUAAUUAUUUAAAACCUACUGAUCACUUUGUAAUAGGUGUGUGUAUUUUUUGAUAAGCACAACG